UACAGAGGUCCCAAGCGUUGUUCGGAUUCACUGGGCGUAAAGGGUGCGUAGGCGGUUGGGUAAGUCUGAUGUGAAAUCUCACAGCUUAACUGUGAAACUGCAAUUGGAUACUAUCCGGCUAGAGGAAAUGGAGGGGGAGACUGGGAAAUACUUGGUGUAGCAGUGAAAAUGUGUAGAUAUCAAGUGGAAACACCAGUGGCGAAAGGCGAGUCUCUGGAACAUUUUCCUGACGCUGAGGGCACGAAAAGCCAGGGGGAGCAAAACGGGG
rnacentral:rRNA from 1 species